rnacentral:rRNA from 1 species
GAUGAACGCUGGCGGCGUGCUUAACACAUGCAAGUCGAACGGAAAGGCUCCUGCUUGCAGGGGUACUCGAGUGGCGAACGGGUGAGUAACACGUGGGUGAUCUGCCCCGCACUUCGGGAUAAGCCUGGGAAACUGGGUCUAAUACCGGAUAGGACCACUUCUUGGAGGUUGUGGUGGAAAGUUUUUUCGGUGUGGGAUGAGCUCGCGGCCUAUCAGCUUGUUGGUGGGGUAAUGGCCUACCAAGGCGUCGACGGGUAGCCGGCCUGAGAGGGUGUACGGCCACAUUGGGACUGAGAUACGGCCCACACUCCUACGGGAGGCAGCAGUGGGGAAUAUUGCACAAUGGGCGCAAGCCUGAUGCAGCGACGCCGCGUGGGGGAUGACGGCCUUCGGGUUGUAAACUCCUUUCGCUAGGGACGAAGCGCAAGUGACGGUACCUAGAGAAGAAGCUCCGGCUAACUACGUGCCAUCAGCCGCGGUAAUACGUAUGGUGCGAGCGUUGUCCGGAAUUACUGGGUCUAAAAAACUCGUACGUGCUUUGUCGCCUCACUCGUGUAAGCCCCGCCCUUAACUGCAGGAUUGCAGGCCUAUACUGGCAUAACUUGAGUGUUUUAGGGGAGACUGGAAUUCCUGGUGUAGCGGUGGAAUGCGCAGAUAUCAGGAGGAACACCGAUGGCGAAGGCAGGUCUCUGGGCAGUAACUGACGCUGAGGAGCGAAAGCAUGGGGAGCGAACAGGAUUAGAUACCCUGGUAGUCCAUGCCGUAAACGGUGGGCGCUAGGUGUGAGUCCCUUCCACGGGGUUCGUGCCGUAGCUAACGCAUUAAGCGCCCCGCCUGGGGAGUACGGCCGCAAGGCUAAAACUCAAAGGAAUUGACGGGGGCCCGCACAAGCGGCGGAGCAUGUGGAUUAAUUCGAUGCAACGCGAAGAACCUUACCUGGGCUUGACAUACACCAGACCGGGCCAGAGAUGGUCUUUCCCUUUGUGGUUGGUGUACAGGUGGCGCAUGGUUGUCGUCACCUCGUGUCGUGAGAUGUUGGGUUAAGUCCCGCAACGAGCGCAACCCUUGUUUUAUGUUGCCCGCACGUGAUGGUGGGGACUCAUGAGAGACUGCCGGGGUUAACUCCGAAGAAUGUGGGGAUGACGUCCAAUCAUCAUGCUCCUUAUGUUCCGGGGCUUCCCCCUGUCUACAAUGGUUGGUACCACGCGUUUUCCAACCCUGUGAUGGUGUGCUAAUCCCUUAAAUCCCGUCCUUAGUUUUGACUGGGGGUCUGCCACUUCUACCCCUUGUAAGUCGGGAGUCGCUAGUAAUUCCCACAUCACCCACACCCUGCGGUGAAUAAAUUCCCUGGGC